AUUGAACGCUGGCGGCAUGCUUUACACAUGCAAGUCGAACGGCAGCGCGGGCUUCGGCCUGGCGGCGAGUGGCGAACGGGUGAGUAAUGCAUCGGAACGUGCCCAGUAGUGGGGGAUAGCCCGGCGAAAGCCGGAUUAAUACCGCAUACGACCUGAGGGUGAAAGCGGGGGACCGAAAGGCCUCGCGCUAUUGGUGCGGCCGAUGUCGGAUUAGCUAGUUGGUGGGGUAAAGGCUUACCAAGGCGACGAUCCGUAGCUGGUCUGAGAGGACGACCAGCCACACUGGGACUGAGACACGGCCCAGACUCCUACGAGAGGCAGCAGUGGGGAAUUUUGGACAAUGGGGGCAACCCUGAUCCAGCCAUGCCGCGUGCGGGAAGAAGGCCUUCGGGUUGUAAACCGCUUUUGUUCGGGAAGAAAUCCUCUGGGCUAAUACCCCGGGGGGAUGACGGUACCGGAAGAAUAAGCACCGGCUAACUACGUG
rnacentral:rRNA from 1 species